rnacentral:rRNA from 1 species
GAUUAUGGCUCAGGACGAACGCUGGCGGCGUGCCUAACACAUGCAAGUCGAGCGGGGACAUUGCGACGGAGGCGAAGUACUCGUACGGAGUCAAAGAUGUAAUGUUCUAGCGGCGGACGGGUGAGUAACGCGUGAGCAACCUGUCCCUUACAGGGGGAUAACACAGCGAAAGUUGUACUAAUACCGCAUAAGACCACAGGAUGACAUCGUCCAGGGGUCAAAGGAGCAAUCCGGUAAGGGGUGGGCUCGCGUCCGAUUAGAUAGUUGGUGAGGUAACGGCCCACCAAGUCGACGAUCGGUAGCCGACCUGAGAGGGUGAUCGGCCACAUUGGGACUGAGACACGGCCCAAACUCCUACGGGAGGCAGCAGUGGGGAAUAUUGGGCAAUGGGGGGAAACCCUGACCCAGCAACGCCGCGUGAGGGAAGAAGGUUUUCGGAUCGUAAACCUCUGUCCCAGGUGAAGAGGAAGAGACGGUAGCCUGGGAGGAAGCCCCGGCUAACUACGUGCCAGCCGCGGC